rnacentral:sRNA from 1 species
UCACGGUUGCUGUUCGACCUCCGUCUGC